GACGAACGCUGGCGGCGUGCUUAACACAUGCAAGUCGAACGGUAAGGCCCUUCGGGGUACACGAGUGGCGAACGGGUGAGUAACACGUGGGUGAUCUGCCCUGCACUUCGGGAUAAGCCUGGGAAACUGGGUCUAAUACCGGAUAGCACCACUGCCUGCAUGGGUGGUGGUGGAAAGCUUUUGCGGUGUGGGAUGGGCCCGCGGCCUAUCAGCUUGUUGGUGGGGUGAUGGCCUACCAAGGCGACGACGGGUAGCCGGCCUGAGAGGGUGACCGGCCACACUGGGACUGAGAUACGGCCCAGACUCCUACGGGAGGCAGCAGUGGGGAAUAUUGCACAAUGGGCGCAAGCCUGAUGCAGCGACGCCGCGUGAGGGAUGACGGCCUUCGGGUUGUAAACCUCUUUCAGCACCGACGAAGCGCAAGUGACGGUAGGUGCGGAAGAAGGACCGGCCAACUACGUGCCAGCCGCCGCGGUAA
rnacentral:rRNA from 1 species